GACGGAGGAUGCAAGCGUUAUCCGGAAUGAUUGGGCGUAAAGCGUCCGCAGGUGGCAGUUCAAGUCUGCUGUCAAAGACCGGGGCUUAACUUCGGAAAGGCAGUGGAAACUGAACAGCUAGAGUAUGGUAGGGGCAGAGGGAAUUCCUGGUGUAGCGGUGAAAUGCGUAGAGAUCAGGAGGAACAUCAGUGGCGAAAGCGCCUUGCUGGGCCAUUACUGACGCUGAGGAACGAAAGCUAGGGUAGCGAAAGGG
rnacentral:rRNA from 1 species